CCGCCAGUAGUUCAGUUGGUAGAGCAUUCGCCCGAUAAGCGAAAAGUCGGUGAUUCGAGUUCACCCUGGCGGACCA
rnacentral:tRNA from 1 species